rnacentral:rRNA from 1 species
GGAUGAACGCUGGCGGCGUGCCUAAUACAUGCAAGUCGAGCGAACGGACGAGAAGCUUGCUUCUCUGAUGUUAGCGGCGGACGGGUGAGUAACACGUGGAUAACCUACCUAUAAGACUGGGAUAACUUCGGGAAACCGGAGCUAAUACCGGAUAAUAUUUUGAACCGCAUGGUUCAAAAGUGAAAGACGGUCUUGCUGUCACUUAUAGAUGGAUCCGCGCUGCAUUAGCUAGUUGGUAAGGUAACGGCUUACCAAGGCAACGAUGCAUAGCCGACCUGAGAGGGUGAUCGGCCACACUGGAACUGAGACACGGUCCAGACUCCUACGGGAGGCAGCAGUAGGGAAUCUUCCGCAAUGGGCGAAAGCCUGACGGAGCAACGCCGCGUGAGUGAUGAAGGUCUUCGGAUCGUAAAACUCUGUUAUUAGGGAAGAACAUAUGUGUAAGUAACUGUGCACAUCUUGACGGUACCUAAUCAGAAAGCCACGGCUAACUACGUGCCAGCAGCCGCGGUAAUACGUAGGUGGCAAGCGUUAUCCGGAAUUAUUGGGCGUAAAGCGCGCGUAGGCGGUUUUUUAAGUCUGAUGUGAAAGCCCACGGCUCAACCGUGGAGGGUCAUUGGAAACUGGAAAACUUGAGUGCAGAAGAGGAAAGUGGAAUUCCAUGUGUAGCGGUGAAAUGCGCAGAGAUAUGGAGGAACACCAGUGGCGAAGGCGACUUUCUGGUCUGUAACUGACGCUGAUGUGCGAAAGCGUGGGGAUCAAACAGGAUUAGAUACCCUGGUAGUCCACGCCGUAAACGAUGAGUGCUAAGUGUUAGGGGGUUUCCGCCCCUUAGUGCUGCAGCUAACGCAUUAAGCACUCCGCCUGGGGAGUACGACCGCAAGGUUGAAACUCAAAGGAAUUGACGGGGACCCGCACAAGCGGUGGAGCAUGUGGUUUAAUUCGAAGCAACGCGAAGAACCUUACCAAAUCUUGACAUCCUUUGACAACUCUAGAGAUAGAGCCUUCCCCUUCGGGGGACAAAGUGACAGGUGGUGCAUGGUUGUCGUCAGCUCGUGUCGUGAGAUGUUGGGUUAAGUCCCGCAACGAGCGCAACCCUUAAGCUUAGUUGCCAUCAUUAAGUUGGGCACUCUAAGUUGACUGCCGGUGACAAACCGGAGGAAGGUGGGGAUGACGUCAAAUCAUCAUGCCCCUUAUGAUUUGGGCUACACACGUGCUACAAUGGACAAUACAAAGGGCAGCGAAACCGCGAGGUCAAGCAAAUCCCAUAAAGUUGUUCUCAGUUCGGAUUGUAGUCUGCAACUCGACUACAUGAAGCUGGAAUCGCUAGUAAUCGUAGAUCAGCAUGCUACGGUGAAUACGUUCCC